UGGGGAAUAUUGCACAAUGGGCGCAAGCCUGAUGCAGCGACGCCGCGUGGGGGAUGACGGCCUUCGGGUUGUAAACUCCUUUCGCUAGGGACGAAGCUUUUUGUGACGGUACCUAGAUAAGAAGCACCGGCUAACUACGUGCCAGCAGCCGCGGUAAUACGUAGGGUGCGAGCGUUGUCCGGAAUUACUGGGCGUAAAGGGCUCGUAGGUGGUUUGUCGCGUCGUCUGUGAAAUUCCGGGGCUUAACUCCGGGCGUGCAGGCGAUACGGGCAUAACUUGAGUACUGUAGGGGUAACUGGAAUUCCUGGUGUAGCGGUGAAAUGCGCAGAUAUCAGGAGGAACACCGAUGGCGAAGGCAGGUUACUGGGCCGUUACUGACGCUGAGGAGCGAAAGCAUGGGGAGCGAACAGG
rnacentral:rRNA from 1 species